rnacentral:rRNA from 1 species
UGGCGGCAUGCCUAAGACAUGCAAGUCGAACGAAGUGGUUCGAUGAAUUUGGAGUGCUUGCACAAAAAAGGAUUCGAGUUUCCACUUAGUGGCAGACGGGUGAGUAACACGUAGGUAACCUACCUUUUAGACUGGGAUAGCAAUUAGAAAUGAUUGGUAAUACCGGAUGAUACAUAUUUAGAUAACUUUAUAUGUUAAAAGAAGCGUUUGCUUCGCUUUAAGAUGGGCUUGCGGUGUAUUAGCUAGUUGGUAAGGUAAUGGCUUACCAAGGCUACGAUGCAUAUCCGAGCUGAGAGGCUGAUCGGACACAUUGGGACUGAGACACGGCCCAAACUCCUACGGGAGACAGCAGUUAGGAAUAUUCGUCAAUGGGGGAAACCCUGAACGAGCAAUGCCGCGUGAGUGAUGAAGGCCCUUUGGGUCGUAAAACUCUGUUAUAAGGGAAGAACAUCUACCAUAGGAAAUGAUGGUAGUCUGACGGUACCUUAUCAGAAAGCCCCGGCUAACUACGUGCCAGCAGCCGCGGUAAUACGUAGGGGGCAAGCGUUAUCCGGAAUUAUUGGGCGUAAAGCGUGUGUAGGCGGUUUAUUAAGUUUAAGAUUAAAGCCCGAGGCUUAACCUCGGUUCGUCUUAAAAACUGGUAGACUUGAGUAUGGUAGAGGCAAGUGGAAUUUCUAGUGUAGCGGUUAAAUGCGUAGAUAUUAGAAGGAACACCAGUGGCGAAGGCGGCUUGCUGGGCCAUUACUGACGCUAAGACACGAAAGC